UCCGAAUUGGUGUAGUGGCUAACAUUUGACGCUCUCAUCCGCCUCUCCUCUUUGUACAAAGAGUAAGAUGUAGAAAAGUGCCGUCAAGCCCGGGGUUCGAUUCCCCGAUUCGGAG